GGUUAAGCGACUAAGCGUACACGGUGGAUGCCCUGGCAGUCAGAGGCGAUGAAGGACGUGCUAAUCUGCGAUAAGCGUCGGUAAGGUGAUAUGAACCGUUAUAACCGGCGAUUUCCGAAUGGGGAAACCCAGUGUGAUUCGUCACACUAUCAUUAACUGAAUCCAUAGGUUAAUGAGGCGAACCGGGGGAACUGAAACAUCUAAGUACCCCGAGGAAAAGAAAUCAACCGAGAUUCCCCCAGUAGCGGCGAGCGAACGGGGAGCAGCCCAGAGCCUGAAUCAGUGUGUGUGUUAGUGGAAGCGUCUGGAAAGGCGCGCGAUACAGGGUGACAGCCCCGUACACAAAAAUGCACAUGCUGUGAGCUCGAUGAGUAGGGCGGGACACGUGGUAUCCUGUCUGAAUAUGGGGGGACCAUCCUCCAAGGCUAAAUACUCCUGACUGACCGAUAGUGAACCAGUACCGUGAGGGAAAGGCGAAAAGAACCCCGGCGAGGGGAGUGAAAAAGAACCUGAAACCGUGUACGUACAAGCAGUGGGAGCACGCUUAGGCGUGUGACUGCGUACCUUUUGUAUAAUGGGUCAGCGACUUAUAUUCUGUAGCAAGGUUAACCGAAUAGGGGAGCCGAAGGGAAACCGAGUCUUAACUGGGCGUUAAGUUGCAGGGUAUAGACCCGAAACCCGGUGAUCUAGCCAUGGGCAGGUUGAAGGUUGGGUAACACUAACUGGAGGACCGAACCGACUAAUGUUGAAAAAUUAGCGGAUGACUUGUGGCUGGGGGUGAAAGGCCAAUCAAACCGGGAGAUAGCUGGUUCUCCCCGAAAGCUAUUUAGGUAGCGCCUCGUGAAUUCAUCUCCGGGGGUAGAGCACUGUUUCGGCAAGGGGGUCAUCCCGACUUACCAACCCGAUGCAAACUGCGAAUACCGGAGAAUGUUAUCACGGGAGACACACGGCGGGUGCUAACGUCCGUCGUGAAGAGGGAAACAACCCAGACCGCCAGCUAAGGUCCCAAAGUCAUGGUUAAGUGGGAAACGAUGUGGGAAGGCCCAGACAGCCAGGAUGUUGGCUUAGAAGCAGCCAUCAUUUAAAGAAAGCGUAAUAGCUCACUGGUCGAGUCGGCCUGCGCGGAAGAUGUAACGGGGCUAAACCAUGCACCGAAGCUGCGGCAGCGACGCUUAUGCGUUGUUGGGUAGGGGAGCGUUCUGUAAGCCUGCGAAGGUGUGCUGUGAGGCAUGCUGGAGGUAUCAGAAGUGCGAAUGCUGACAUAAGUAACGAUAAAGCGGGUGAAAAGCCCGCUCGCCGGAAGACCAAGGGUUCCUGUCCAACGUUAAUCGGGGCAGGGUGAGUCGACCCCUAAGGCGAGGCCGAAAGGCGUAGUCGAUGGGAAACAGGUUAAUAUUCCUGUACUUGGUGUUACUGCGAAGGGGGGACGGAGAAGGCUAUGUUGGCCGGGCGACGGUUGUCCCGGUUUAAGCGUGUAGGCUGGUUUUCCAGGCAAAUCCGGAAAAUCAAGGCUGAGGCGUGAUGACGAGGCACUACGGUGCUGAAGCAACAAAUGCCCUGCUUCCAGGAAAAGCCUCUAAGCAUCAGGUAACAUCAAAUCGUACCCCAAACCGACACAGGUGGUCAGGUAGAGAAUACCAAGGCGCUUGAGAGAACUCGGGUGAAGGAACUAGGCAAAAUGGUGCCGUAACUUCGGGAGAAGGCACGCUGAUAUGUAGGUGAAGUCCCUCGCGGAUGGAGCUGAAAUCAGUCGAAGAUACCAGCUGGCUGCAACUGUUUAUUAAAAACACAGCACUGUGCAAACACGAAAGUGGACGUAUACGGUGUGACGCCUGCCCGGUGCCGGAAGGUUAAUUGAUGGGGUUAGCGCAAGCGAAGCUCUUGAUCGAAGCCCCGGUAAACGGCGGCCGUAACUAUAACGGUCCUAAGGUAGCGAAAUUCCUUGUCGGGUAAGUUCCGACCUGCACGAAUGGCGUAAUGAUGGCCAGGCUGUCUCCACCCGAGACUCAGUGAAAUUGAACUCGCUGUGAAGAUGCAGUGUACCCGCGGCAAGACGGAAAGACCCCGUGAACCUUUACUAUAGCUUGACACUGAACAUUGAGCCUUGAUGUGUAGGAUAGGUGGGAGGCUUUGAAGUGUGGACGCCAGUCUGCAUGGAGCCGACCUUGAAAUACCACCCUUUAAUGUUUGAUGUUCUAACGUGGACCCGUAAUCCGGGUUGCGGACAGUGUCUGGUGGGUAGUUUGACUGGGGCGGUCUCCUCCUAAAGAGUAACGGAGGAGCACGAAGGUUGGCUAAUCCUGGUCGGACAUCAGGAGGUUAGUGCAAUGGCAUAAGCCAGCUUGACUGCGAGCGUGACGGCGCGAGCAGGUGCGAAAGCAGGUCAUAGUGAUCCGGUGGUUCUGAAUGGAAGGGCCAUCGCUCAACGGAUAAAAGGUACUCCGGGGAUAACAGGCUGAUACCGCCCAAGAGUUCAUAUCGACGGCGGUGUUUGGCACCUCGAUGUCGGCUCAUCACAUCCUGGGGCUGAAGUAGGUCCCAAGGGUAUGGCUGUUCGCCAUUUAAAGUGGUACGCGAGCUGGGUUUAGAACGUCGUGAGACAGUUCGGUCCCUAUCUGCCGUGGGCGCUGGAGAACUGAGGGGGGCUGCUCCUAGUACGAGAGGACCGGAGUGGACGCAUCACUGGUGUUCGGGUUGUCAUGCCAAUGGCACUGCCCGGUAGCUAAAUGCGGAAGAGAUAAGUGCUGAAAGCAUCUAAGCACGAAACUUGCC
rnacentral:rRNA from 1 species